GCCAUGAUGGCGCGGGGCGGGUGCGGCUGUGGGUGGCUCUGGGUGGACGCCUGAACACCUCACCUGUGACCCAGCGUAACUGGAGAAACAGAUUAUGUGUUCAGUGUGCUAUUGCUGUUUAGACGCGAGGAACCAGGACGUGCGGUGUUGGGAAGUUACAAUAACGUCUGUACCUGGGUAAAUAUCUAGACAGCUACCCCUAAUCUGAGGACACAACACUCCGUGCCUCCUAGUCCACGUCCCUUUUUGUCUAGAAACAGAAAGGAGUCUUUACAAAACUUCCCAUAUUUUUUUGAUAUUUAAAAACUCUGCCAACCUCUGUCUUCAGAGACAGACACAGACUCUGCUUCAGACAUUUCCUAUGCUGUAUGUACCAUGUACUACUGAGCUGAAAAUGAACCUCCUCAUGUUCUCAAGAGGCAUAUGGAAAUACUUACCCUUGUCCACUGAGUGGCUUUUGUCAGUGCCUCUCUGUAUCUCAACUCGUAUUCUGUAGGAGUUGUAGCUGGCAUGAGCAUAGUUCACUGCUAUCCAGAUAGAUGCAGAACGGUUCAUGAAGAGAUUUUUUCGUUCUAUUGUGAUGGAAGGUGAUGAAGUGUUUCUUCUAAAAAGCUUUGUGAUUCUCUCCCUUCAGAGAAGAGGAAUAAGAAUGAAAGCCAAACUUUUUGCUGGUUUAUCAUACACUUUUUUUUCCUCAUAAGCAUCAUUAUAACAACUCCUAGCUUUCCAGGUACUCAUAAACAAAGUCAUCAUUUUGAAAACUUGGAAGUGAGGACUGAGCAGCUUGAAACAGCAAAUGUAAUUCCAGUAUCCUAGCUAUCCUAGCUUAACCUUGCAAAUACAUGUUGUGCACUGGAGAACUGCUAAAUUCUUUACAUUUAUGAGGCACAGUGUGAUAAAAGACAAAGAUCUGUAUAGUUUUCUUUAAGAUUAAAAUGGGACAUAAACAGCUUUUAGAAGGUACUGUUAGAUGUGUGAGAGUUGAAGCUGUCAUGGUAAAAGUAAGCUAAUAGGGCAGGUCUACCAUCUAAAGAGUAUAUUUGCAAGAUAAAAAGUGCCUUCAACUUAUGCGACUGUACAGUAAAGCUUUUAUAUAAAAGUGAUUUUCAUAAUUGCUAUAUGCUUCAGGCUGGAUAAUGGAAACAUACGUUGUACAACCUUGAUUCUCAAUCAGGCCAACAGCUGGCCAAGUUUGUAUUAUAAAUUAAAAAAAAUUCAGUGGCCAUAACGUGUAUUGACUGUCCAGAAGUUCUUGGAGCCAUUUAGGCAGUUUGUUUUGCUACGUCAGCUACGGCAACCUUCUGGAAGCCAGCUGAAGUUUUAGCCUUUUCCUUUGAUCCGUAGUGAAAGCUUAAGUUCUGCAAGGUGUUCUUCAUGUAAGCAGUUGCUGCAGAAAUGUGGUCCUGGGUAUGUAGGAUUUGGGAGUACAUGUGAAUGCAAAGAAUGUGCAAAGAAAAGCAGGACUUAGGGAAAUAAGAUUUAACUUUUGUGUGUGUGUGUUUUCUCACACUCAGUUUUCAGGCAUUAAAUGGAAGACUGUUCUUGUUCUGUUUGGACAUCCCCCCAGAUCCUGCUCUGCCAUUUGCUCUCUGAUGCAUACAAAACAUAUGUCAUGGUUCUAUGUUUUUUGUUUUUGUUUUUUUGUUUUGGGUUUCAGUAUUCCACAUCAAAACAUCAUGUAGUGUACGGGGCAUUAAAGUGUCACUGCCCAAUCCCAGCUACCUAUCCCUGUACAUUACAGAAGUCACGGGAUCUGGCCCUUCCGGGUGGGGGGGGCGCUCUCUUGCUGCCUGGCAGUGGGUGCUGGAGGGUGCUUUCCUGGCCGUUCCAAGCUUUUCAGGUUUGAAUCGGUCCCGGGAACUCUCUCUCUCUCAUCUUGUCUGAUUUAUUAAUCUCAGUUUCAAUUAAAUUGUAUCUAUUGUGUUAUCUUGUAUUCCGAUAUUAUAGUAAAAUAAGUUUUCCUCCAUAGAUUGUUGCCGCUGUUCUUUUCCUCCCUUCCUUCCUUCCC